CUCGUCGUAUACUUCCCCGAAAGUGUGUACCUGUCUUCUCCGUUUCUGUGUCUUGCACAUGGUCAAAGAAGCGGCCAACACCCUCUGGUAACCCUAUAAGUAUCAGACAAUUUCCAAACCUUUUUCUACCAGGCGAUUGUACGGUCUUUUUGGCUGAACCCUAGGACCUAGGCAUUUUGUCAGCUUUUCUGUUGAUUCGAUCAAAUGGAUGAAGGUUCAAACAUCACAAAAGAAUCAAGUUUGUCUUGUGCUCGUUGUGGCAAACCAGCUCAUCUUCAAUGUCCUAAAUGUGUGGAAUUGAAGCUACCUCGGGGAGAUGCUGCAUUCUGGUUUUUCUCAGGAUUGUUUCAAGGCAGCAUGGAGCUCGCACAAGUCAGUCCACUUGCGUAUAGAGUCCCAACCACUUAGAGCUGAUGCAUCAGAUGAUCAAACUUCUGCAGCCCUUAAAAGGGGUUGGUUGUAUUGCUUAAAGAAAGGCCAAGCUCGAACCGCUAAACUUCCACAUUUUGAUUGGACAGGGUGUGUAUGGAAUGAUUUAUAUGUGCAAUUGUCUAUGUUAGUCUUCUAUAGAUGGCAUAUGUGUUUCUGUAUUUUACCUUUCAAAAUGGACUGGAAGAUCAGUGCAAAUCGUGAUAUUGAAGAUUUUCUAUUAUGUAUUUCCUCUGCCUAUUUAUAAUCUGUACAAUGUACAAUAUAAAAGAAAGUUUUCUUUUAGAUGCCGAAUUAUCAUGUAGUAAAUGCUCGUUGAAGUUAGAGUUAUGUUGAUUUGGUUCAUCUUAAAUCUUAUGUAGGAAGAAGAUUUAGUGAUGCAACUCUAUAUUGCUCGCUGAUAAUCUGGAUGACUUUGUACCUAUAAUUUAGGGAAACUAUGGCAACAAUAGGUAUUAGGGCUUGGUUUUGUUCUGUUUGGUGUGUGUGUUUAUGUGCUUGCCUUAGCAUAUGCGUCAGUUUCUUAAGGCGUGGCUCUCUCAUCUCACAUCAUCCUUUUCUCAUGCCUUCUACAACUGCACCAUUUACAUCCAAUUGAUUGAACAUCACAGAUGAAUCCCUUAUGUAUGAUGUUUGUUAGAUCUGUUCUCUAUUUUAGUAAAAAAUUUUGCUCCUUGAGCACAAUUUCUCGUACUCAUGUGCAAGGUGAUCCUUAUGGUGGUCAAUACUACGAGUGGCUUAAGAAUACUAAUCCUCUUCUUUACUUGGUGUUGUCUGCAAUGGUUGGUAAGAGCUAUCCAUUUUUUCUAUUUGAGAUGGGGGCUGUGUUGUUCAUCAAUCACAAGUUAUUUGUUGUGAAUAAUUUUUAUGGUGACCAUUGUACAAGAUAAUGUGAUGUCCUGUGGAUAUGAUGUUCAUAUGAUUUUCUUAGAAAUCUGAUUCUAUUGCAUUGUAAUUGUUUUGAAUCCUUGCCGUGCUCAGAUCUAAUGUAAAUAUUUGGAAAUGUUGAAC